ACGCUCGACACCUACGGGAGCAGCAGUAGGGAAUCUUCCACAAUGGACGCAAGUCUGAUGGAGCAACGCCGCGUGAGUGAAGAAGGUUUUCGGAUCGUAAAGCUCUGUUGUUGGUGAAGAAGGAUAGAGGUAGUAACUGGCCUUUAUUUGACGGUAAUCAACCAGAAAGUCACGGCUAACUACGUGCCNNNCGCCGAGUAUGNGCGGCGNGNGAGAG
rnacentral:rRNA from 1 species